UACGGGGGGGGCUAGCGUUGUUCGGAAUUACUGGGCGUAAAGGGCGCGUAGGCGGUCUGCUAAGUUGGAUGUGAAAACUCUGGGCUUAACCCAGAGCCUGCAUUCAAUACUGACAGGCUAGAGUUCUGGAGGGGAUAGCGGAAUUCCUGGUGUAGCGGUGAAAUGCGUAGAUAUCAGGAGGAACACCAAUGGCGAAGGCAGCUCGCUGGAACGGUACUGACGCUGAGGCGCGAAAGCGUGGGGAGCGAACAGG
rnacentral:rRNA from 1 species